CUCUAUUCUUAUCGGGAGGCAGCAGUGGGGAAUAUUGCACAAUGGGCGCAAGCCUGAUGCAGCGACGCCGCGUGAGGGAUGACGGCCUUUGGGUUGUAAACCUCUUUCAGUAGGGAAGAAGCCGUGAGGUGACGGUACCUGCAGAAGAAGCGCCGGCUAACUACGUGCCAGCAGCCGCGGUAAUACGUAGGGCGCAAGCGUUAUCCGGAAUUAUUGGGCGUAAAGAGCUUGUAGGCGGUUUGUCGCGUCUGCUGUGAAAGACCGGGGCUCAACUCCGGUUCUGCAGUGGGUACGGGCAGACUAGAGUGCAGUAGGGGAGACUGGAAUUCCUGGUGUAGCGGUGAAAUGCGCAGAUAUCAGGAGGAACACCGAUGGCGAAGGCAGGUCUCUGGGCUGUAACUGACGCUGAGGAGCGAAAGCAUGGGGAGCGAACAGGAUUAGAUACCCUGGUAGUCCAUGCCGUAAACGUUGGGCACUAGGUGUGGGGGACAUUCCACGUUUUCCGCGCCGUAGCUAACGCAUUAAGUGCCCCGCCUGGGGAGUACGGCCGCAAGGCUAAAACUCAAAGGAAUUGACGGGGGCCCGCACAAGCGGCGGAGCAUGCGGAUUAAUUCGAUGCAACGCGAAGAACCUUACCAAGGCUUGACAUGAACCGGUAAUACCCUGAAAC
rnacentral:rRNA from 1 species